rnacentral:rRNA from 1 species
ACGUAGGGGGCGAGCGUUAUCCGGAAUUAUUGGGCGUAAAGAGUACGUAGGCGGUUUUUUAAGCGAGGGGUAUAAGGCAGCGGCUUAACUGCUGUUGGCCCCUCGAACUGGAGGACUUGAGUGUCGGAGAGGAAAGCGGAAUUCCUAGUGUAGCGGUGAAAUGCGUAGAGAUUAGGAGGAACACCAGUGGCGAAGGCGGCUUUCUGGACGACAACUGACGCUGAGGUACGAAAGCGUGGGGAGCAAACAG